GUGUCAGCCGCCGCGGUAAUACAGAGGGUGCGAGCGUUGUCCGGAAUCACUGGGCGUAAAGGGCGCGUAGGUGGCGACCCAAGUCGAUGGUGAAAGCUCGUCGCUCAACGACGAGUCGGCCACCGAUACUGGGUUGCUCGAGCACUGUAGAGGCAGAUGGAAUUCCGGGUGUAGCGGUGGAAUGCGUAGAGAUCCGGAAGAACACCGGUGGCGAAGGCGGUCUGCUGGGCAGUUGCUGACACUGAGGCGCGACAGCGUGGGGAGCAAACAGGAUUAGAUACCCUGGUAGUCCACGCCGUAAACGAUGGGCACUAGAUGCUUGGGGGAGCGACCCCCUGAGUGUCGCCGCUAACGCAUUAAGUGCCCCGCCUGGGGAGUACGGCCGCAAGGCUGAA
rnacentral:rRNA from 1 species